AUUCCCACAGCCUCUGCCAUUUUGACAUCUGGGGCCAGGGGGAAAUCUCACAGAUUCUGGGGAAUCAAGUAAUAAACAUAGUCACUUACUCCAAUAUCUUAAUGAUCCAAAUGACCCAGACAACGCUAGGGGUACCUUCUACUAUAGUAAAGUUUAUCACUGAGCUAAAAUAGUUUGGCUACAGCUAAGAAAACAUCAGGGAAAAGAAGUCAGAUUGCUUCCCUUCACUACAGCUUUAUGAAAUCUGAAAGAAGAUAUACCAAUCAAAAAGAACUCUCCACCAAGAUAGAUUGAUUUCAUUGUUUAAGAUGCAUCUACAUCUGCCACCCAUUUCUUAGGAAGAAGUUGCUUUCUACUUUCCUGGGAAUACUGUCCUUUCAAAAGGCCUGUCACCAAGAUUGACACAAAUAAUACAUAAUGAAAAGGUUAGUCUGUGACAGAUCUGGAGUAGCAAGUUGCAGAUAUUCUUCUCCAGCAGCAGAAGACAAAGCCAAUUUGAAACAGAAAAAACCACUCCUCCCAAUCAGAAUAAUCCUGGGACAAAAGAGAAUAUCAAUGGGAACAAAAAGAGUACUACUGGGGAGGAUUACUACAGACACAUUUUACAAUAAAGUAUGAGAACCAUUGUGAACCAUCUAUAUAAUAAAACCAAUAUUUUGUUCCAUAAAAUUAAACAAAUGAAAUGUCUAGGUUUAAAAAUCUAACAUUGGGGGGAAGCAUAUGAGGUAAUCAUAUAUGAUCAUUAGUAAACAAUGACUAUACAAACUCUACUUUAUCUUUCAUAUGAGUUCCCUGACCCUUUUUGUAUAAGAACCAAUUAAAAACUUGUAGCUGACUUAUUUAAAAUAAGGUGCAAUGUGCAAAGGUAUUGUCCA